rnacentral:rRNA from 1 species
AAGACCUCAAAUCAGGUGG